GCUAGAAUAAAAACACAUUGUGGUUGGUAGUCCACAAGCAGCUAAGCUGUCAGUAACCUGCCUCCUUAGGUUGUCCGUUUCUAGAGAUAAA
rnacentral:ncRNA from 1 species